UGAAAAAUCUUAUAACUCUUGGAAGUAUCCCGAGUACUGCGGAGCACGUGGAAUUCUGCAGGAAUCUGCCGGAACCAUCCGGUAAGGCUAAAUACUCUUAAGUGACCGAUAGUGUACAAGUACUGUGAAGGAAAGGUGAAAAGUACUCCUAACAGGAGGGUGAAAUAGAACCUGAAACUGUAUGCCUACAAACGGUAGUAGUCUGAAAUGGAGCUUGCUCCAAAUUGGAUGACUGCGUGCCUUUUGCUUAAUGAUCCUACGAGUUACUCGUAUGUAGCCGGAUAAGGUUUUAAGAACCGGAUCCCCAGCGAAAGCAAGUCCGAAUAGGGCGACAAAUGGUUACAUGCGGUAGACGCGAAACUGUGUGAUCUACCCUUGGUCAGAAUGAAGUAUCGGUAAAA
rnacentral:rRNA from 1 species